rnacentral:rRNA from 1 species
CCUAAGGGCGCAGCAGUGAGGAAUAUUGGUCAAUGGGCGGAAGCCUGAACCAGCCAAGUCGCGUGAGGGAAUAAGGCCCUACGGGUCGUAAACCUCUUUUGCCGGGGAGCAAGGGCCCGGCCGCGUCCCGGCCCUGAGAGUACCCGGAGAAAAAGCAUCGGCUAACUCCGUGCCAGCAGCCGCGGUAAUACGGAGGAUGCAAGCGUUAUCCGGAUUUACUGGGUGUAAAGGGCGUGUAGGCGGGGAAGCAAGUCAGAUGUGAAAACCAGGGGCUCAACCUGGGGCCUGCAUUGGAAACUGUUUUUCUUGAGUGCUGGAGAGGCAGACGGAAUUCCUAGUGUAGCGGUGAAAUGCGUAGAUAUUAGGAGGAACACCAGUGGCGAAGGCGGUCUGCUGGACAGCAACUGACGCUGAGGCGCGAAGGCGUGGGGAGCAAACAGGAUUAGAUACCCCAGUAGUC